AUUGAACGCUGGCGGCAUGCCUUACACAUGCAAGUCGAACGGUAACAGGUCUUCGGAUGCUGACGAGUGGCGAACGGGUGAGUAAUACAUCGGAAUGUGCCUAGUAGUGGGGGAUAACUACUCGAAAGAGUGGCUAAUACCGCAUGAGAUCUACGGAUGAAAGCAGGGGAUCGCAAGACCUUGUGCUACUAGAGCGGUCGAUGGCAGAUUAGGUAGUUGGUGGGAUAAAAGCUUACCAAGCCGACGAUCUGUAGCUGGUCUGAGAGGACGAUCAGCCGCACUGGGACUGAGACACGGCCCAGACUCCUACGGGAGGCAGCAGUGGGGAAUUUUGGACAAUGGGCGAAAGCCUGAUCCAGCAAUGCCGCGUGCAGGAUGAAGGCCUUCGGGUUGUAAACUGCUUUUGUACGGAACGAAAAGCCCCGGGUUAAUACCCUGGGGUCAUGACGGUACCGUAAGAAUAAGCACCGGCUAACUACGUGCCAGCAGCCGCCGUAA
rnacentral:rRNA from 1 species